rnacentral:rRNA from 1 species
AUGGGAGACGGCAAGAAAUCCAGCUCCGGUCUCUGGUCGACGGUGGUGUCUUGGUUUCGCCCAUCCAAGGGCAAGGUGGCGAGCGCCGGCGACCGGACCAUGGAUAUGAUCCAGCCAGUGGGAUGGUCACGGCGGCCAGACAUUUCUCCCGUGCUCACAAAAUAA